rnacentral:rRNA from 1 species
AUUGAACGCUGGCGGCAGGCUUAACACAUGCAAGUCGAGCGGAAGAAGGCCGCUUGUUCCUGGAGUCAGCGGCGGACGGGUGUGAAACGCCUAGGAAUCUCCCUGGGUGUGGGGGAUAACGUCUGGAAAUGGGCGCUAAUACCGCGUACGUCAUGAGGGAGAACGGGGGGGAUGUUGGCACCUUUCGCCAUCAGACGAUCCUAGGUCGUAUUAGCAAGUUGGUGGGGUAAAGGCCUACCAAGGCGACGAUCCGUAGCUGGUCUGAGAGGAUGAUCAGCCACACUGGAACUGAGACACGGUCCAGACUCCUACGGGAGGCAGCAGUGGGGAAUGUUGGACAAUGGGCGAAAGCCUGAUCCAGCCAUGCCGCGUGUGUGAAGAAGGCCUUCGGGUUGUAAAGCGCUUUUGUAUGGAAGGAAAAGCAUUAGGUUAAUACCUUGCGGUUUUGACGGUACCGGAAGAAUAAGCACCGGCUAACUUCGUG